rnacentral:rRNA from 1 species
GACGAACGCUGGCGGCGUGCUUAACACAUGCAAGUCGAACGGAAAGGCCCUGCUUUUGUGGGGUGCUCGAGUGGCGAACGGGUGAGUAACACGUGAGUAACCUGCCCUUGACUUUGGGAUAACUUCAGGAAACUGGGGCUAAUACCGGAGAGGAGCUCCUGCUGCAUGGUGGGGGUUGGAAAGAUUCGGCGGUUGGGGAUGGACUCGCGGCUUAUCCGCUUGUUGGUGGGGUAGUGGCUUACCAAGGCUUUGACGGGUAGCCGGCCUGAGAGGGUGACCGGCCACAUUGGGACUGAGAUACGGCCCAGACUCCUACGGGAGGCAGCAGUGGGGAAUAUUGCACAAUGGGCGGAAGCCUGAUGCAGCAACGCCGCGUGCGGGAUGACGGCCUUCGGGUUGUAAACCGCUUUCGCCUGUGACGAAGCGUGAGUGACGGUAAUGGGUAAAGAAGCACCGGCUAACUACGUG